rnacentral:rRNA from 1 species
UACGUAGGGCGCAAGCGUUAUCCGGAAUUAUUGGGCGUAAAGAGCUCGUAGGCGGUUUGUCGCGUCUGCUGUGAAAGACCGGGGCUCAACUCCGGUUCUGCAGUGGGUACGGGCAGACUAGAGUGAUGUAGGGGAGACUGGAAUUCCUGGUGUAGCGGUGAAAUGCGCAGAUAUCAGGAGGAACACCGAUGGCGAAGGCAGGUCUCUGGGCAGUAACUGACGCUGAGGAGCGAAAGCAUGGGGAGCGAACAGG